CCUACGGGGGGCAGCAGUGAGGAAUAUUGGUCAAUGGGCUUACGCCUGAACCAGCGAAGUCGCGUGAGGGAAGACUGCCCUAUGGGUUGUAAACCUCUUUCAGCAGGGAAGAAGAAAGUGACGGUACCUGCAGAAGAAGUCACGGCUAACUACGUGCCAGCAGCCGCGGUAAUACGUAGGUGGCGAGCGUUAUCCGGAAUUACUGGGUGUAAAGGGUGUGUAGGCGGGAG
rnacentral:rRNA from 1 species